AUUGAACGCUGGCGGCAUGCUUUACACAUGCAAGUCGAACGGUAACAGGUUAAGCUGACGAGUGGCGAACGGGUGAGUAAUGCAUCGGAACGUGCCCGGUCGUGGGGGAUAACGCAGCGAAAGCUGCGCUAAUACCGCAUACGAUCUGAGGAUGAAAGCGGGGGACCGUAAGGCCUCGCGCGAUUGGAGCGGCCGAUGUCAGAUUAGGUAGUUGGUGGGGUAAAGGCUCACCAAGCCGACGAUCUGUAGCUGGUCUGAGAGGACGACCAGCCAACAGGGGAGUGAGACACGGCCAGGACUCCGACGGGAGGGAGCAGUGGGGAAUUUUGGACAAUGGGCGCAAGCCUGAUCCAGCAAUGCCGCGUGCAGGAAGAAGGCCUUCGGGUUGUAAACUGCUUUUGUACGGAACGAAACGGUCCGGGUUAAUACCCUGGGCUAAUGACGGUACCGUAAGAAUAAGCACCGGCUAACUACGUGCCAGCCGCCGCCGUAAGAC
rnacentral:rRNA from 1 species